UACGUAGGUGGCAAGCGUUAUCCGGAAUUAUUGGGCGUAAAGCGCUCGCAGGCGGUUUCUUAAGUCUGAUGUGAAAGCCCACGGCUCAACCGUGGAGGGUCAUUGGAAACUGGGAGACUUGAGUGCAGAAGAGGAGAGUGGAAUUCCACGUGUAGCGGUGAAAUGCGUAGAGAUGUGGAGGAACACCAGUGGCGAAGGCGACUCUCUGGUCUGUAACUGACCGGCUGAGGAGCGAAAAGCAUGGGG
rnacentral:rRNA from 1 species